rnacentral:rRNA from 1 species
AUGUACCUAGGGCUUCCACUUUCCCCUUCAAAAUUACCACUGACAGCUUUCGACCCCAUCAUAGAUAACUUUCGGAAAUUCCUAUUUGGCUGGGUGGCGCGCCUUCUCUCAAGGGGGGCCAGGCUCACCCUCCUGACUGCUGUCCUCGACUCCUUAACGGUCUAUUUCAUGUCUGUUUUCAAGCUACCAAAAUCCAUCUUAGCAAAACUUGACGCUAUUCGGAGAGCCUUCUUCUGGUCUAACGAGUCUACAUGCACUGGAGCGAGCUGCCUUGUCGCGUGGAAAAAUGUUUGCAAACCUAAAGAUACUGGUGGUCUAGGCAUUAAAAAUCUUGAGAUCCAAAACCGUUGCUUGCUUAUGAAAUUUUCUUCCAAAAUUAUGCAACACCCAAAUGUUCCCUAG